AGUAACGGCGAGUGAAGCGGCAACAGCUCAAAUUUGAAAUCUGGCCCUCGGGUCCGAAUUGUAAUUUGUAGAGGAUGAUUUUGGUGCGGUAUCUUCCGAGUUCCUUGGAACAGGACGCCUUAGAGGGUGAGAGCCCCGUACGGUUGAAUGCCUAGCCUCUGUAAAUCUCCUUCGACGAGUCGAGUAGUUUGGGAAUGCUGCUCUAAAUGGGAGGUAAAUUUCUUCUAAAGCUAAAUAUUGGCCAGAGACCGAUAGCGCACAAGUAGAGUGAUCGAAAGAUGAAAAGCACUUUGAAAAGAGGGUUAAAUAGCACGUGAAAUUGUUGAAAGGGAAGGAUUUGUGACCAGACUUUUUCUGGGCGGAUCAUCCGGGGUUCUCUCCGGUGCACUUUGCCCAGUAAAGGCCAGCAUCGAUUUUCGGCGGCGGAUAAAAGCAGUGGGAAUGUGGCUCCUUACGGGGAGUGUUAUAGCCCAUUGUAUAAUACGCUGCUGGGGAUCGAGGUACGCGCUUCUGCAAGGAUGCUGGCGUAAUGGUUAUCAAUCACCCGUCUUGAAACACGGACCAAGGAGUCGAACAUUUAUGCGAGUGUUUGGGUGUUAAACCCUCACGCGUAAUGAAAGUGAACGGAGGUGAGAGCCUGUAUGGGUGCAUCAUCGACCGAUCCUGAAGUUUUCGGAUGGAUUUGAGUAAGAGCAUAACUGUUCGGACCCGAAAGAUGGUGAACUAUGCGUGGAUAGGGUGAAGCCAGAGGAAACUCUGGUGGAGGCUCGCAGCGGUUCUGACGUGCAAAUCGAUCGUCAAAUCUGCGCAU
rnacentral:rRNA from 1 species